rnacentral:lncRNA from 1 species
CAGGCUGGAGAGCAGUGGUGCAAUCAUAGCUCACUGCAGCUUCAACCUCCAGGUGCAAGGAACCUUUCAGAAGAAAGCAGGAAGGAAGAGAGAGUGGCCUGAAUCUUGGAUGACCACACUUUCAAGCCUCUGUAAGGAAGUGCCCUCUUCGCUUCCGGGAGAGCCGCGCGUAUACUCAGAAUGAAGCCUGGAGAAGUGAGUGUACCCACGCUCAGGGCAACAUUCCUCACCCCCGGCUGAGCCCUGUCCCAGCCCCCCACCUGCAGUAUCGGCCAGGCCGGUUAGGUCACAGUGGAGUGGCUCAGACCUGUUGGCCCUGCACCCUGGCAGCUCGCCAGCACCUCCCCAGGCAGCCUGCCAUCAGCUAGGCCUCUCACUAUCGCAGAGACUCAUUCCAGGUCCCUCAGACCCAGAAAGCCCCCCAGGGCCUGUGUGCUGUGUGCUCAGCAUUUCCUCCCUGGCUUUCUGCCCCUCCAAGCAGCCCCCACUCCACACUACAGCACAGUCCUAUGUAGUGUGAUGAGGUGGAGCCUCAUAGGCUUCAGGCUGAUCCUCAGCUCUGCCACUUAGGCUGUGUGACUUCAGGCAAAUGCCUUAACCUCUCUCAGUCACAGCUUCCACAUCAUUUAAAUGAAAACCUUGCCUGGCUUGAGGGGUGGUUGUGAGGAUUUGGUGGGAUAAUACACAUCAAGCACUUAAAUGGGGCCUGGCACACAAUGUACAUAGAGCAUCUAAUUUCCAGGUGCUCAGCUUCUUCCUUUUUCUUUUCUGAGACUGGCUCUCACUGUAUCACCCAGGCUGGUGUGCAGUGGUGUGAUCACAGCUCACUGCAGCCUUGACCUCCUAGGCUCAAGCGAUCCUCCAGCCUCAGUCUCUGGAUGGAGCUAGGAUUUACUAGGCGUGUGCCACCACACUCAGCCAUUUUUAUUUAUUGUUUUGUAGAGACAGGGGUCUCACUAUGUUGCCCAGGCUGGUCUCAAACUCCUGGCUUCAAGUGAUGCUUCCACCUCCGCUUCCUAAAGUGCUGGGAUUACAGGCAUGAGCUACCAUGCCCAGCCAAUUUUUUCUUUCAAAAGUAAUUUAUGGAAUGAAGUGCCAGCCAAGCACUGUGAUCACAGCUUUACAUGCAUUACCACAUUCAAUCCUCAUGAUAAACUCUCAAGAGAGUGUUAUGGGUUCAAGUGUCCUACCAAAAACAUAUGAAAAACAUGUGAAUGCCUAAGCCCCAGUA